CAACAACUAAUGGGUAUGAAGACUUGCUGGUGUUAAUACCUCCUCCAUUAUGACGAGAAUGAACAAUCUCAUACACCAUCAGGAGAGGCUGAGUCUGGCAGCAGAUAGAGAUCAAACAGAAGCAAGGAAAAAAGGCAUGCAACAAGAAGCCUUGAAAUAUUUCUCUCCACUUACAUCACUCCGUGUGUGGGAUGGAAUCCAGGCACUCCACGGAGAUUCUUCCAUGCAUAAUGGCAUCUUGACACCCUUCAUGCUCGCAAGACUAAGAGAAGCAAAGACAAAACAAUGUAGACAUUGGUGCUCUUGCAUUUCAGAGGAAGAUUGAAGAAACAGAGCCAAAAGUGGGCGUACACAGGACCAGUGUGCCUGAGGCCACAGUGAUGGCAGAAAGAGAGAGCAACAGUGGCCUGCCGCCUUGGUAAAUCAGAACAUAAGUCAAGUCCUGUGGAGGUUAUAGGGGAGUGGAAUCACCUCCCAGUUCUCCUGGAAAUAUAGUUUAUCCUGUGAUCCUCCAGACGAAUCCACUCUCCCCCACUGUUGACUAAGAGGGACAAAUCCCAUUACAAUGCAGUUAUUAAAGGUUCCACCCCAAGAACCUUCCAGAGCCUUGUGCCCAUCUCGGCAUCUUGGUGUAGGCCACAUACGUACAUGUGUCAGAACUUAUCUUACUGUAUGUCACUAUCCAUCUUUCACUUCUAUUAGACCUGAGCUCCAUAAGGGUACAUGAUUUAAUUAUGUUUCUACCCACAAUGUGCUUGGACUAUGGUAGAAAUUUAAUACAUGUUUGUUAAGUGAGUGAGGGUCUUAAUAGGCUAACUUUAAACACAGUUUACUUUGGUAUAAAAUGCCUUGUAACUUAAUUUCCAGUUUACUUGUGCUUUAAAAUUAUACCUGAAAAGCAAGAAUCUCUUCACCAUUGUCAAGCAUAGUGUAGUAUUAGAAUGCAUAUAAAAUUAAUAUAAGGUAUUUAAAAAUGAGAAAAAGACCCAAGGACAUUGGAAAACAGCUUUUUGUAGAAAACUUCUUAGUUGUAUUCAUGAUCUAAAUUUCUUAUAACUCAAACUCAAACUAAGUAAAUGCAAAUACAACAUGCACUUGGAAGUUUACUGUAUAUAAAAUGUAAAGUGUCAUUUGAACCUAGUGUAUAACAUGUAGUAUAUAAUAUACAAUUGUUCUAAAUCUAUGAAAAAUUAUAUUAACCCGGUUAGAUAUUUAAUAUAGCUGGCAGUUAAACUGUGUUUGACACACUCACUAAAAUCUUACACACUCCGUAUGGAUGCUAGAUAUCUUUGCCAGGACAGUUUCCCAAGUGAGACAGUUUCUUAUGAUUGAAGACAAUGGCCAUUAUAAGGGAAGAUUAACUGGCAAGGUUAUAUAUUGUAGUUCUGAUUAGUCUUCAAUUUCUCAGGCCAAUAGUUUAAUAAAAGCUUCUACCUUAAUGAUAAC
rnacentral:lncRNA from 1 species